GGCGAGGUAGCUCAGGUGGUUAGAGCGCAGGAUUCAUAACCCUGAGGUCGGGAGUUCAACUCUCCCUCUCGCUA
rnacentral:tRNA from 2 species